rnacentral:lncRNA from 1 species
GGGGGGGAGGGGGCGGAGGGGGGGAAUUACCAUUAGCAGUUGAAGUGGUAGGAAAUUUUUACAUAGGAGAGUAUGGUGAUCAUAUUUGCAUUUUAGAAAAUAAUGGAUAGCAGUUUGUUAGGGGAACAAAGGACAGAGACAGGGAGACUAUUUAAAACAUUAAUAAAAAAUGCCAGUGACAGAUGAUGAGGCAUCUACCUGAUGGGAACGGAGAAGAGGAGAUGGAUUCAGAAACUACUUAUGAGGUACAGUCAUCAAGAUCUAGAUGACGAAUUGCAUGUAGGGGGUAAAAAAGUAGGAAGAAGAGAGGAUGAUGACUUCUGCGUUUCUGGCUUGGGAAAGUGGUUAGACUGUGGGCUGGAUGUGUGUGUGAUUGUGUGUGUGUAGCUGAAAAGGCAAUUUAGCUUUGUAACUGUUGAAGUGAAUAUGGACCAUAGACAUAGAUAUCUACUAGGUAGCUGAAUAUGUAGUCUGCAAAUCAGGAGAAAAUUCUAGGUGAAGAUGGCAAUUUAGAAUCAUCAGAGUCUAUAUGAGGCAGGCGGUCCAAGGCUGAUGCCCAAAGAAGCCAUCAAGACCCGUGCUACUUCCAGCUCCUUCUGUCCUCAUAAUCAUAGAUGAUUGCUCCACAUCCAGCACCUAACACCAGUACUCAGUUAAAUUUUUUGCUGAAUAAAUCAAUGAAUGGAGAGGUAAAGAGGAACCAGAAGUUGGGGUUACGGAAGUCACUGAUGGAAGAGUUUCAAGAUAGUAGAAGUGGUCAGCCCUGUUAAGUGACAAGCCAAGGACUGAAGAAAGGCUGGCAGAUUUGGCAAUCAGAUGAAGUGACCUGACCAAAGAGCAGCUUGUGUGAAGUAGUGAGGACAGGCGCUGGUCUGCAACGGGUUUAGGAGGAAAUGGAAAUGAGGAAGAAGAGAUAGGAAAGUGGAGAUUAUACAAUGGCAAGUAUCAAGAUGAAAAUGAACACAUUUGGCCUGCUACCUGAAUUUUUUAAAUCGGCUCACCAAAAAAUAUCAGGCUUAUUGAAAUAUUGGCAUAUCUGAUGAAGUUUCCUCUUAUCUUUGAGCUGUUUGGGUUUGGGUAAAACUUCAAUGCUUAAAAUUCACGUCUACAACUAGCAGGCAGAACCUUAAAGUCCAGAACAAUUAAAGGGUUUAAUAAUGGUGAGGCAUAUGAUGAUGCCGAUGAUGAUAAUGUUUCUUUCUUUCUUUUGUGAUCUUAAUCAUUGUGUGAUCUUAACUAGUUUGAAAUGAGAAUUUCAAUGGAGACAGUAGUGUAAAUUUACCAACAGAACAAUUACAGUCAAGACAAAACAAAAACUA